AUUGAACGCUGGCGGCAGGCUUAACACAUGCAAGUCGAGCGGGGGAAGGUAGCUUGCUACCGGACCUAGCGGCGGACGGGUGAGUAAUGCUUAGGAAUCUGCCUAUUAGUGGGGGACAACAUCUCGAAAGGGAUGCUAAUACCGCAUACGUCCUACGGGAGAAAGCAGGGGAUCUUCGGACCUUGCGCUAAUAGAUGAGCCUAAGUCGGAUUAGCUAGUUGGUGGGGUAAAGGCCUACCAAGGCGACGAUCUGUAGCGGGUCUGAGAGGAUGAUCCGCCACACUGGGACUGAGACACGGCCCAGACUCCUACGGGAGGCAGCAGUGGGGAAUAUUGGACAAUGGGGGGAACCCUGAUCCAGCCAUGCCGCGUGUGUGAAGAAGGCCUUAUGGUUGUAAAGCACUUUAAGCGAGGAGGAGGCUACUUUAGUUAAUACCUAGAGAUAGUGGACGUUACCCGCAGAAUAAGCACCGGCUAACUUCGUGCCAGCAGCCGCGGUAA
rnacentral:rRNA from 1 species